GACGAACGCUGGCGGCGUGCCUAAUACAUGCAAGUAGAACGCCGUUGCGAACAGGUGAGUAAAGCGUAGGUAACUGGCCUAAAGCGGGGGAUAAACAAUUGAAACGAUAACUAAUACCGCAUACUGUUAGCUGGACGUGAGUUGGAUUAGCUAGUUGGUGGGGUAAAGGCUCACCAAGGCGACGAUACAUAGCCGGCCUGAGAGGGUGACCGGCCACACUGGGACUGAGACACGGCCCAGACUCCUACGGGAGGCAGCAGUAGGGAAUCUUCGGCAAUGGACGGAAGUCUGACCGAGCAACGCCGCGUGAGUGAAGAAGGUUUUCGGGUCGUAAAGCUCUGUUGUUAGAGAAGCGGAAACUAACAAGAAAGGGAGGGCUAACUACGUGCCAGCGCCGCGGUAAUUC
rnacentral:rRNA from 1 species